rnacentral:tRNA from 1 species
GCCCCCGUAGCCCAACAGGCAGAGGCAGACCCCUUAAAAGGGUCCAAGUGUCGGUUCGAAUCCGACCGGGGGUACCA